UACAGAGGGUGCAAGCGUUGUUCGGAAUUAUUGGGCGUAAAGCGCGUGUAGGCGGCUUUGCAAGUCGGGUGUGAAAGCCCUCGGCUCAACCGAGGAAAUGCGCCCGAAACUGCAGAGCUUGAGUACCGGAGAGGAUGGCGGAAUUCCCCAAGUAGAGGUGAAAUUUCGUAGAUAUGGGGAGGAACACCGGUGGCGAAGGCGGCCAUCUGGACGGAUACUGACGCUGAGACGC
rnacentral:rRNA from 1 species